AGAGUGGGCACAUGAGGUAUACGAAUGAGACAAGCUUGCAGGGCACAGCAUCAGAAUACACUGCUGCUUGGUUUUUCUUCCCUAACCAAUUAAUUCAACUUCAAUCAUUAACGAUAGCAUUAAGUGCUUUGCACUAACAAACAUCACAGGGAAGUCUCACAGGGGCAGAGGGCUCAGCAUCCGACAGAAGCUUGGCAGGAUGAAGCCUCUAAGUGGCUGCAUUUCAGCUACCAUCCAGUUUAUUCAGCCCGCAAAACGUAUUCCAGAAACACACGCCUGCAGAUGUCUCGCGCACGCAUUGCCUUACUGAUCAUCAUAAAAAAACUGCCUAUGCUUUCAUUUCAUCCAUACCAGAUGGCGGCUGUGACACUGGGGUCUGUCUUAUUUCCAUGCCAUCCACAAAGACCUUGACAGAGGGAAGAAGAAAGAUAUCUGUCAGCUUCAGUGGGUAAAACCAAAAAAAAAAAAAAGAAAAAAAAAAGAAAAAAGGAAAGAAAAAGAAAAAAGAGAGAUUGGCUCUAUGCCAAAGAGUACAGCCCUCCUGAAAGGAAAAGAAAAAGGCAGAAGCAACAGUUUCUUCAUAUUUUGAGAGAAAUAUGUGCAACUUCCUGGGACCUUUUUCCUUUUGUUUUCAUUUCGAGCAAGAGUAUGCGUUGGAGCUGUGCAGUAUCCUCUUUCCUUUCAGAUACAGCUGCACUCUUCUGGAUGAAGGUGGAGAUAUGUGAAUCUGUUCCCAUGCCAAAGUCAUUUGCUAGAUUGUCUCUUAUGCUUUAAAAGGGCUCAAAUUGGAAUUACAUGGCACUUGCACCUUCUGCUGUUCCAUACCCAUGGUGCCUAAAUGCUGACAGCAACGGCAUUCAUUGCCUUCUUGACAUUUCUUACUGUGUGAGGUGAACAAACUCACCAGGAUGAGACACAUUUCUCAUUUUGUAUUCAACCACUCCACCAUUCUCCCUGUCCAAAAGCCAUGUGGGAGUUGGAUCAUGGCUUGUUCUAUCCACUCUGCUCCACUCUUACUUUUGAACAGAUCUGAAGAUUGCCGGAAGAGGUGGUGGAUGCCCUAUCCUUGAGGACACUCAAGGUCAAGCUUGAUGGAGUUCUGAGCACCCGAUCAAGCCGUAGGUGUCUCUACUCAUUGCAAGAGAGUUGGAUUAGAUGGUCUCAUAGGGGCCCCUUCCAACUCUCUUUCUAUGAGAGCUAGGAUGCCCUUCAUCAUUUUCUGGAGCAAGCUGGUUUUCACAUCUUGUUUUACUGCAUGAGACUGCUCCUCACAGGACAGCAAGCAAGCAAGCCUGGGAAGACUCAAACCUCUUUCAUUUAUAAUCAGAACACAGCUGAGCCCAAGCUAACGACCCAAAAUGAAAUACAAAUUGAUACAGGUUGGGCACAGAACCAUAAAAAUGCAGCCUUGCAGCAUCUGACCCAUUAGCACUGAGCUUGAGCUCAAUUGGUGCUUGAGCUGAAAUUGGACCCGGUUGAAAGAAAUGAUGGAAGACCUAUGCCUGCAGUUAUAGUGUGAAGGAUCCAGAUGCCUGGGAUCUGUUUGUGCCUGUUAUUUGCAGCACAGUGAUUUAUUAGCAGAACUCUGGACACAGACCAUACUGGGCAACUCUUUCUUAGAUCUUGGGCUACAGAUAGCUGGGAAAGCAGACAGACUGUUUGCAAGGAAAUCAAAAGCACUUUGAGUCUUAACUGCUGCAUGAUUCAUCUCACAAACUGAAUUCAGUACAGCAAACUGUUGCCCUGCAGACAAAUUUCAUACAAAAUGACUGUAUAAAGCACCAAUGUUUAUAUGCUAGGCUGAUGUGGGUUGAAGGCUGUUUAAAAUGGCUGUGGAUAGUUAUGUAAUUAUUUGAGAACAGUAGGGCACAAUAAGUGAAUAUAAACAUUGAAGAAAACUGUACGAGUUCACUGCGUGCUUACAUGAGUCCGUCAUCUUUUCUUACAAAUGUCUUUCUUCAAAUAUAAAUAUAAAGAAAUCAUAA
ensembl:lncRNA